rnacentral:rRNA from 1 species
AGAGUUUGAUCCUGGCUCAGGAUGAACGCUAGCGGCAGGCUUAACACAUGCAAGUCGAGGGGCAGCGGGGAGGAAGCUUGCUUUCUCCGCCGGCGACCGGCGCACGGGUGAGUAACACGUAUGCAACCUGCCCUGUCAGGGGGACAACCCGCCGAAAGGCGGGCUAAACCCGCGUACAUGCCACCGGGGCAUCCCGGAGGCAGGAAAGGCUUCGGCCGGACAGGGAUGGGCAUGCGGCGCAUUAGGCAGUAGGCGGGGUAACGGCCCACCUAACCGACGAUGCGUAGGGGUUCUGAGAGGAAGGUCCCCCACACUGGUACUGAGACACGGACCAGACUCCUACGGGAGGCAGCAGUGAGGAAUAUUGGUCAAUGGUCGGGAGACUGAACCAGCCAAGCCGCGUGAGGGAGGAAGGUACAGAGUAUCGUAAACCUCUUUUGUCAGGGAACAAAGGCGGGGACGUGUCCCCGGAUGAGUGUACCUGAAGAAAAAGCAUCGGCUAACUCCGUGCCAGCAGCCGCGGUAAUACGGAGGAUGCGAGCGUUAUCCGGAUUUAUUGGGUUUAAAGGGUGCGCAGGCGGUCUGUUAAGUCAGCGGUCAAAGCCCGGGGCUCAACCCCGGCCCGCCGUUGAAACUGGCAGUCUCGAGUUGGAGAGAAGUAUGCGGAAUGCGCGGUGUAGCGGUGAAAUGCAUAGAUAUCGCGCAGAACUCCGAUUGCGAAGGCAGCAUGCCGGCUCCACACUGACGCUGAGGCACGAAAGCGUGGGUAUCGAACAGGAUUAGAUACCCUGGUAGUCCACGCAGUAAACGAUGAAUGCUGGCUGUCCGGGGGGACUGACCCCUGGGUGGCGAAGCGAAAGCGAUAAGCAUUCCACCUGGGGAGUACGCCGGCAACGGUGAAACUCAAAGGAAUUGACGGGGGCCCGCACAAGCGGAGGAACAUGUGGUUUAAUUCGAUGAUACGCGAGGAACCUUACCCGGGCUCAAACGGGGAGUGACUCAGGCAGAGACGCCUGUUUCCCACGGGACACUCCCCGAGGUGCUGCAUGGUUGUCGUCAGCUCGUGCCGUGAGGUGUCGGCUUAAGUGCCAUAACGAGCGCAACCCCCGCGUGCAGUUGCUAACAGAUAACGCUGAGGACUCUGCACGGACUGCCGGCGCAAGCCGCGAGGAAGGCGGGGAUGACGUCAAAUCAGCACGGCCCUUACGUCCGGGGCGACACACGUGUUACAAUGGGUGGUACAGCGGGAAGCCAGGCGGCGACGCCGAGCGGAACCCGAAAUCCACUCUCAGUUCGGAUCGGAGUCUGCAACCCGACUCCGUGAAGCUGGAUUCGCUAGUAAUCGCGCAUCAGCCAUGGCGCGGUGAAUACGUACCCGGGCCUUGCACACACCGCCCGUCA